UGAAAGUCACUCAAUUAUACCUGUAGAACGUAUUUCCAAAGGUGAGCAAAGGUGUGUAUGGUAACUUUUCUUUCAUUCUUUUUCAUUCAGAGUUUUUUUCAUCUUUUUCUAUCACUUUUUUCUUCACACACAUCAAAGUCAAUCAAUUAUACCUGCAAGACGUUAUUUCCAAAGGUGAGCAAAGGUGUGUACGAUAACUUUUCUCUCAUUCUUCCUCAAUCAAAGCUUUUUUUCUGUAACUUUUUUUUCCUUCACUCAAGUCAAAGUCAUUCAAUUUACCUGCAGAACGUUACUUGUACAGGUGAGAAACUUGGCAUUUACUUCCGUAGGUGUGUAUGAUAAAGUCUCAUUCAUUCUUCUUCAGUCACAGCAUUUCUUUACGUUCAUCACUUUUUCCUUCGCACCCUCGUUAAAAUCAUUAGCCUACCUGUCGAUCUUAUUUCCACAGGUGAGACACUCUAAAUACACCUUUCAACCACGUACCAAAACACAGGUAAGGAAGACCAGUUGGAGAUACAGGUAAACACACUCUUCUUGAAUCACACUUUUUCCUCACCUUUUCCUUCACUCACUCCACCUGCAGAACGUAUUUCCACAGGUGAGACACUUUGCAAACACCUUUCAACCACGUCUUAAACACAUUCGAGAGUUAAGGGUUGGAGAUACAGGUAAACACACUCUCCCUACAUCACUUUUUCUUCCCUUUUCCCUCUCACACCCGUUAAAACCACUAAUCUACCUUCACAACGGAUCCAAAACACAGGUGAGCGAGGCCAAUCAACCAGCCGGGAGUAAAGGGUUGGAUGCAGGUUAG